CGAGAAGGUUCCGUCCGAGACGUUCGUGGCCGCCCCUCGAGUCGGACAUGUGGGUUCCUGUAGUGUCGCGCACCGGUGGGUGCUGUGUGGCGAGGAGCAGUAAAGAUUCCCUUGUGACCCAAUACGAUGUAGACAAUGGACAUCAAUCGUCAGCAAACAGAGGUGUGAAGAUUUUUAUAAGCCGAAUAAGUCUGGCGUCGUUUGUUCAGAACACUUUUUGGACAAAGAUAUAUAUGUAACUGCAAAAGGCAGAAGACGUCGUCUGAAAACGGCUGUUCCUACUGUAGUGAUACAAUUGCCGGAUGGUGGCGUUAAUACUGAAUAGUCUGCGAUUUCACUGUUUGACGCGGAAAAUAACAAGAAAUUCAUAUCUCCUACUAGUUCCCUAAGUAUAGGCUCAAUUUUAGACACACCUCGAAAAGCAAUUAUAAAAAACGAACUUCAAAAAUGCCGCAAAAAGUUAUUUAACAGAGAAAAAGUCAUUGACAAUUUUAAAAAGAAAAAUUCAAGGCUCGUUAAAAAGACCAUUUCGUUAAAGAAUGCAUUUAAAAUUUUAAAG